UGGGGAAUAUUGGACAAUGGGCGAAAGCCUGAUCCAGCCAUGCCGCGUGUGUGAAGAAGGCCUUUUGGUUGUAAAGCACUUUAAGCGAGGAGGAGGCUACUUGGAUUAAUACUCAAGGAUAGUGGACGUUACUCGCAGAAUAAGCACCGGCUAACUCUGUGCCAGCAGCCGCGGUAAUACAGAGGGUGCGAGCGUUAAUCGGAUUUACUGGGCGUAAAGCGUGCGUAGGCGGCUUCUUAAGUCGGAUGUGAAAUCCCUGAGCUUAACUUAGGAAUUGCAUUCGAUACUGGGAAGCUAGAGUAUGGGAGAGGAUGGUAGAAUUCCAGGUGUAGCGGUGAAAUGCGUAGAGAUCUGGAGGAAUACCGAUGGCGAAGGCAGCCAUCUGGCCUAAUACUGACGCUGAGGUACGAAAGCAUGGGGAGCAAACAGG
rnacentral:rRNA from 1 species